rnacentral:ncRNA from 1 species
AAAAAAUCUAAGCAAAAUAAUAAUAGUAUAAAUAAAUUUUAUAUGGUUUAAAAAAUUUAUUAAAAAUUUAUUUUACAUAUAAAUUUUAGUAUAAUUAAAUAUAUUUAUUUUAAAAAUAUUUAUUUUAUUGUAGUAAUUAAUAUUAAAAAUUUAAGAAAUUAAGAUUUAGUAAUAUAAAAAUUAUUAACAAAUUUUGUGCCAGCAGUUGCGGUUAUACAAAAGUUAAAUUAAAUUUUUUUAGUGUUUAAUAAUUAGUAUUUAAUUUAUAAUUAAAAAUAAAAAUUAUUAAGUGAAAUUUUAAUUUAUUAUUAUUUUAUUUAAAAUAAUUUAUGAUUUAAUAAAUUUUAUUAAUAAACUAGGAUUAGAUACCCUAUUAUUAAAAAUUUAAAUUUAAAAUACUAAAAUAGUAUAUAAUUAUUUAUUGAAACUUAAAUAUUUUGGCGGUAUUUUAGUUUAUUUAGAGGAAUCUGUUUAUUAAUUGAUAAUCCACGAAUAAAUUUACUUAAUUUAUUAUUUUGUAUAUCGUUGUUAAAUAAAUAUUUUUAAAAAAUUUUAAUAUUUUAAAAUUAUUAUUAAAAUUAAAUCAAAUCAAGAUGCAGAUUAUAAUUAAGAAUAUAAUGGAUUACAAUAAAUUUAUUUAAAUGGAUUUUAAUUUGUAAGAAUUUAAAUGAAAGUGGAUUUAAAUGUAAUUUUAUUUAGUUUAAUUAAAUGAUUAUAAAUUAAAGUAUGUACAUAUUGCCCGUCGCUUUCAUAAAUAAAUUGAAAUAAGUCGUAACAAAGUAGAGGUACUGGAAAGUGUUUCUAGAAAGAU